UUCAUAAGUUUGACAUUUUACGAUUAGGUGCUCAUAACCAAUAGCUUUGGCACAUCGUCUAACUUUUAUAAUUCUGCUUUCUUGAUUUCAGCAGUGGCCUCUCUCUCACAUCGACGUCGUUGUCCUCAUAUUCAAGAUCUUUUGCUCAAACACGUCUCACCAUUUUGACGUAAUUAUCAGAUCAACUAAGCAACGAAGCAAUUAUUAAGUUCAUUGACAGCUGUUGAAUACUUGGUUGGUGUGAUUGGGCUUCGUCUGCAGCUUCGUCGAACGUUGGAGUGCCAGACUCAGUCAAUCUACGCUGCCUUAAAGAAUAGAAUCUGCCCCGCCCAAUUUCUAUAAAAAAUUGCUACCAUGAAUUCUACAGCUCAAAAGAGACCAAACCGUCCUGUUGAUUUCAAGUUGUUCCUCUACAUAUAUAUGAUAUUAUCAUUCUACAGCUUUAUAAGCAACUACAUACUAAUCCAGAGGCAUUGUGUCAAGAAUCGAGAACCCUAAGAUGGAAAAAGCUGCCAGAAAACUAUAUUUGCUGAGAGUGGAAAGAACAUACUCUCUUGCAAAUGCGUGAAUAACAAUGUUUACAUGUAGUAUUAAUUUAGUAAAACACAAUAAUUACUUCAGA